rnacentral:rRNA from 1 species
UACGUAGGGGGCAAGCGUUGUCCGGAAUUAUUGGGCGUAAAGAGCGUGUAGGCGGUCCGGUAAGUCAGCUGUGAAAGUCAAGGGCUCAACCCUUGAAAGCCGGUUGAUACUGUCGGGCUAGAGUCCGGAAGAGGCGAGUGGAAUUCCCGGUGUAGCGGUGAAAUGCGUAGAUAUCAGGAGGAACACCUGUGGUGUAGACGGCUUACUGGACCAUGACUGACGCUGAGGCACGAAAGCGUGGGGAGCAAACAGG